GUGAGGAAUAUUGGUCAAUGGGCGGGAGCCUGAACCAGCCAAGUCGCGUGAAGGAAGAAGGAUCUAUGGUUCGUAAACUUCUUUUGCAGGGGAAUAAAGUGCGGGACGUGUCCUGUUUUGUAUGUACCCUGAGAAUAAGGAUCGGCUAACUCCGUGCCAGCAGCCGCGGUAAUACGGAGGAUCCGAGCGUUAUCCGGAUUUAUUGGGUUUAAAGGGUGCGCAGGCGGGUUGAUAAGUCAGCGGUGAAAGUUUGCAGCUUAACUGUAAAAUUGCCGUUGAAACUGUCGAUCUUGAGUGCAAAUGAGGUAAGCGGAAUGUGUUGUGUAGCGGUGAAAUGCUUAGAUAUAACACAGAACACCGAUUGCGAAGGCAGCUUACUGGGAUGCAACUGACGCUCAUGCACGAAAGCGUGGGGAUCAAACAGGAUUAGAUACCCGUGUAGUCC
rnacentral:rRNA from 1 species